UACGGAGGGUGCAAGCGUUGUUCGGAAUUACUGGGCGUAAAGGGCGUGUAGGUGGUUGACUAAGUCAGGUGUGAAAGCCCUCAGCUCAACUGAGGAAGCGCAUCUGAAACUGGUUAACUUGAGUACGGGAGAGGAGAGUGGAAUUCCUGGUGUAGAGGUGAAAUUCGUAGAUAUCAGGAGGAACAUCGGUGGCGAAGGCGCCUCUCUGGACCGAUACUGACACUGAGACGCGAAAGCGUGGGGGGCAAAUAGG
rnacentral:rRNA from 1 species